rnacentral:rRNA from 1 species
AUGGGGAGCUUGGCUGCUCUUCUCCUCGUAGGGAUCCUGCUCCAGCUCGCCGGCUGCAGCCCUCCACCGGACCCGGUGACCUGCACGCAUGGCACGUCCAACUGCACGGUCACCAACACGUACGGCUCCUUCACGGACCGCAUCAUCUGCCACGCGGCCAACGUUGUCUACCCGAGCACCGAGCAGGAGCUGGUCGCGGCCGUGGCGGCCGCGGCGUCCGCCAAACGCAAGAUGAAGGUGGCCACCAAGCACUCACACAGCGGCCCCAAGCUGGCGUGCCCCGGCGGCAGCCAGGGCACCAUCAUAAGCACCUCACGGCUGAACCGGACGGUUCGUGUCGACGCCGAGAGGCAGCUCAUCACGGUGGAGAGCGGCAUGGUACUCCGGGACCUGAUCCAGGCCGCUGCCGCAGCGGGGCUGUCACUGCCGCACUCGCCGAACUGGUACGGCCUAACCAUCGGCGGGCUCCUCGCGACGGGCGCGCAUGGGAGCGGGCUGUGGGGCAAGGGAGGCGCCGUGCACGAGUACGUGGUCGGUCUGAGGAUCGUGACGCCGGCGCCGGCGUGUCACGGGUUCGCCAUGGUGAGGGAGCUCGGCGCCGAUCACCCGGACCUGGACGCCGCCAAGGUCUCCCUUGGGGUCCUCGGCGUUGUCUCCCAGGUGACUCUGGCCCUGCAGCCGCUGUUCAAGCGGUCAGUGACGUUCCUGAGGCGCAACGACUCGGACUUCACGGCACGGGUGGCCGAGUGGGGCCGUCUUCACGAGUUCGCCGACAUGAUAUGGCUGCCGCAGCACGGCAGCGUCAUCUACCGCCAGGACGACCGCGGUACCCGAUUGUGGGGUACCAGCAUCGCAUCCAGGCGUCCGGAUCAUGCAUCGAUGGCCCAGAGGAUGGCCUCCUCUCGCAUCCGAGGCACCUUCCUGUACAACUCCGGCUUCAGCGUCCCACUCUCUAAGGUGUCGGCGUUCGUCGCCGACAUGCAACGGCUCCGGGACCUCAAACCGGCCGCGUUUUGUGCCCUCCUUCGUACGGGUGUUGUCCUCCGCUACGUCAAGGCGUCCUCCGCGUACCUCGGCAAGCCCGAGGACUCUGUUGACGUUGACAUCAUCUUCUACCGCAGCCACACCGACGCCGACGUGGUGGACGAGAUUGAGCAGAUGGCAUUGGGUAAGUACGGCGGCCUGCCGCACUGGGGUAAGAACCGCAACUUCGCCUUCGAUGGUGUCAUCGCAAGGUACCCAAAAGCCAAUAAGUUCCUUAAGGUAAAGAAUAUGUACUACCCCGACGGGCUCUUCUCCAGCGAGUGGACCGAUCAAGUGCUCGGCGUCAACGGGACCCCCAACAUCAUUAAGAAGCGUUGCGCCAUUGAAGGACUAUGUGUCUGCUCUGACGACUUGCACUGUGCGCCAGAGCAGGGGUACUUCUGCCGGCCAGGGAAGGUUUACACGAAUGCAAGAUUUUGCUCUUCCACCGAGGAAUAUUAG